rnacentral:rRNA from 1 species
ACUCCUACGGGAGGCAGCAGUGGGGAAUAUUGGACAAUGGGCGCAAGCCUGAUCCAGCCAUGCCGCGUGUGUGAUGAAGGCCUUAGGGUUGUAAAGCACUUUCACCGGAGAAGAUAAUGACGGUAUCCGGAGAAGAAGCCCCGGCUAACUUCGUGCCAGCAGCCGCGGUAAU